rnacentral:pre_miRNA from 1 species
AGCUAUUUCAAUCCGUGCUGAGAUUUCGUCAGACACCAACCCAUGAAGGCUGACCAGACUUACAAGAUAAGUGAAGUU